rnacentral:rRNA from 1 species
UAGGGAAUCUUCCGCAAUGGACGAAAGUCUGACGGAGCGACGCCGCGUGAGCGAAGAAGGUCUUCGGUUCGUAAAGCUCUGUUGUUAGGGAAGAAGAAGUGCCGUUCGAACAGGGCGGCACGGUGACGGUACCUAACGAGAAAGCCCCGGCUAACUACGUGCCAGCAGCCGCGGUAAUACGUAGGGGGCGAGCGUUGUCCGGAAUUAUUGGGCGUAAAGCGCGCGCAGGCGGUCCCUUAAGUCUGAUGUGAAAGCCCACGGCUUAACCGUGGAGGGUCAUUGGAAACUGGGGGACUUGAGUGAAGAAGAGGAGAGCGGAGUUCCACGUGUAGCGGUGAAAUGCGUAGAGAUGUGGAGGAACACCAGUGGCGAAGGCGGCUCUCUGGUCUGUAACUGACGCUGAGGCGCGAAAGCGUGGGGAGCAAACAGG